rnacentral:sRNA from 1 species
CCAUCAUUUGGCAUCAAGAGCCAGAUAUAUUUUUGAUCCAGGAGGAAAAUAAAAACCAAAGUUGUGCUUCUUUCUUUCUUCACGAUUUGAGGACAAAUCGUUUUUAAAGAGGGAGGGAAUGAUGGCAACCCCUUUAGGGACUUCCCAUCCAAAGAAGUAUCAACUAAAACUAAGACUAAAGAAAGGGAAGUAGAAUAAAGAUUGCUAAAUCUCUUUCCUUAUCUAAGUCUUAGAUAGAUUCUCUUUAACUAAUUCCAUUGUUUUGUAGGACAAUAAAGGUUGGAAGGAUCCUAGGAAGCUUACCAAGUAAAGAGGAAACAAGAAAGUCGUUAAGUCUCUUCUCUUUGGAGCACACUUUCCACAUUUUCCAUAAGAAGCACAUACAGUCGUGCAUCUUCUUUCUUUGGAGCACAAUUGACAUCAUUUUCAUGUGGAACACAUGCCAAUCAUGAAGCACAUUUACCACAUGGAACACACCAGCCGUGAGCUUAUUCAAUUGCACAUGUUUUCAACAAUUACCACAUGGAACACACGACCAUCUUUGGGAAGCAGCUCUUGCACAUUCCAAUUUACUUCAUGCACGUUGUAAUUUGCAGCUUUCCUUGCACAUUCUCAAGCUUCUCUUCAUCUAUAAAAAAGAGCUUGAUCCAUUAUAAACUUAACUUGAGUGUAAUAGUUAAAUGCUGCUAAAAUCCAACCACUUCUCUCGAGUUCACCACUUGUGCCUCUUUAGCACGUUUUCCUCCAGCUUCCUUUCCUCUUGGAAGGCUUUCUAAGCUUCUGAGGCUUCAAACACACACCAAACUCGCACCGAACCUCCCAUCGAACACCUGGUGUGCACCUCCGUUUUCUUUCAUCAUCUCAUUCCGCUGUGUCACUUUGAAUCAUGAAGCUGCUUGAGCUUCAAGCUUGGAGCCGCGUCCAUUAACUAGUCUCAAAGUUGCAUGUGGAGAUGCACCAAAGACUAGUACUAAAGUUGCAAGCCAGGCAAGAAAGGUAAAAAGUGUUUUUUAUCACAAGUAAAGAAAGAAGAAAAAGACAACAAAGGAAAAAGUUCUCAUCAAGACUCAUUGGAGAAUUAUGAAGAACUUAGACCAGAGAUUCAAGUGAGAUUCAACAAAAAGUUGUGGAUUGUGAAAGAACGCAGGAUUGAUGGACUAAUAGAGAUUGAAUCUUCGAUUUCCAAGAGAAUAAAAAAGGUGAACAGGAAGUUAAUGAAGAACUGUUGGUGUAGAGAAGGAAAAGACAACACCAAGAUCAAAGAUGUGACAUGAGCCUAUAGGGUCAAGCUAGUGACGUUAAAGAAG